GACGAACGCUGGCGGCGUGCUUAACACAUGCAAGUCGAACGGAAAGGCCCUGCUUUUGUGGGGUGCUCGAGUGGCGAACGGGUGAGUAACACGUGAGUAACCUGCCCUUGACUUUGGGAUAACUUCAGGAAACUGGGGCUAAUACCGGAUAGGAGCUCCUGCUGCAUGGUGGGGGUUGGAAAGUUUCGGCGGUUGGGGAUGGACUCGCGGCUUAUCAGCUUGUUGGUGGGGUAGUGGCUUACCAAGGCUUUGACGGGUAGCCGGCCUGAGAGGGUGACCGGCCACAUUGGGACUGAGAUACGGCCCAGACUCCUACGGGAGGCAGCAGUGGGGAAUAUUACACAAUGGGCUGAAGCCUGAUGCAGCAACGCCGCGUGCGGGAUGACGGCCUUCGGGUUGUAUACCGCUUUCGCCUGUGACGAAGCGUGAGUGACGGUAAUGGGUAAAGAAGCACCGGCUAACUACGUG
rnacentral:rRNA from 1 species